GUUCAGUCGGUGUCUGUCUUUGCGUGCUUCCCACAGACAGCACCUCACUAAGCUAAACUAUGAACCGCAUUUAGUGUUCGAAGUCAUACAUUCUUUAAAUACAACAUGGCCUUCAAUUAUAAGUCAACUGCUUCGUAGUUGGCUGCCAAAGCAACAGCCAUCUUAAACCAUGAAAUGCCCUUCAGAAGAAAGACAUGUGCUAGGAAGAUGGAGGAGGGAGCUUGAAGAAACCUGGGUCCCAGCUAUGGUUACUUUGAGUUUUUGGAUAGAUGCGGCUAAACCUCAUCCUCAUCUACACAUUGUUUACAUGCAAAAUGAAUUCCACCUUGAGAUAUAAUAUAAGAAGCAUGCCCUCUUUGUGGCUGAAUAUAAACCACAGUGGAACUUUCUCCAAAAAAGGAAUAUUUACAAAGCUAUUCCCUUACCUCCAGUUUGAGAAAAUUUCUUCCAACAAAGUCCGAAACACAGAAUUGAUGCUAAGUGGCAAUUUCUAAAUGACAAAAAGGGAAAGCCACAAAAAUGUAGUUAUGUCAAGGUCCUUUUGGUAUUUCAUCAGAAAUGACUGGCUGAUGGGUUCCCUUGUGAAAGUGCCCCAUUUGGACAAGUUAAAUGAGUAAACCUGGUUAAAAAAAUAUAUUCACCAAGAGCCUCUGGGCAUAGGUACAGUUUCCAAGAGCCCAAGCAUUCUUGGCUACUUGUAAGUAUUAUUGGAAGGCACUCAAAACAAACACUCCAUUUGCCUGAUCUUCAGCAAAGAAAAUAUCAGCCUGUGUGAGCUAAUGUGGAUGUUAUUUUAGAAUUAGCUUCACUGCCAUUUCAGGGUAGCUAAUACUAUUGUCCUCAACUCAAAGCCUUUUGAACUUAGAUUUAGAAGGCAGGCAAGCUGCAAAGCUUGUGACUUUGAGUGUUCUAGAAAAACUCAAAUAUGAGUAGAUUUAGCUUGGUCGUGCAGGACACUUUCCCUUAACUUACUGAGGUAUUUGUAUCAUGGAAGAAGUUGAAAGAUUACUUUCAACUGUAGGAACAGCAGGGGUAGCUUCACAGGCAUGAAACCAGGCAGUGGCUCAGGGCUUCACAGUACAAAGGGCUCUGUGCUGAGUUAAAUGCUCUGCUGCUGCCAUCUUGAAAUUCUUAAUAUUUCUUGAACAAGGGGCUCUGCAUUCUCAUUUUGAACUGGGCCUUGCAAACCUGGAAACAGCAAUGUGGCUUUACUUCUACCUCCUUCCUAGACAACUUUCCUUCUUGUUUGCAUAUACAGGUUUCUCUAUUCAUAUUAAAUAUAAAAUGUAUCUUUUAGUAGCUGAGUCUCUGAAAGGUUUGGCCCACCACAAGGAUAAAAAACAGGAUGAGAGAACAGUAAAGUAAAAUGAUAACAUUAGAAGAAAUGGAAACUGGGUACAGGGUAUACAGGAAUUAUCUGUACAAUCUUUGCAACUUUUCUGUAAAUCUAAAAUUAUUCUAAAAUAUAAAGACCAGCUCAUCAUCAAUUUAAAAAGAAUGUAGUAAUUAUAAAGAGACAAUUGUAAAAUAACCAGAAACAACAACAGUAACAAAAGCCUUUCACACUUGAAAGUUAAAAAUAAAAAAGAAACAACAGUAUUCUUCUUAAAAAAUCACUUGAUCAAAGAAAAUUAAAAAUGGAAAUUGUAAACUUGGAAAUAUAUUACUAUUAUUUUCAUAACCAUUAAAGGAUUUAAUUAGAAUUGUUUAAAUAUAGCAAAAAAUAUGUUUAAAACUCAACAGUCUACUUUUGGACCACAACAAUAGGAAAAAUGAAAAUCCCUUUAUUCAGAAAUGUGCAUUAACGAUAUGUGCAUGUGUUUGUGUAUGUGAAUAAAUUAUAAAAUUUUGCUAAAUGAUACUAAAGAAGACUGAAGUAAAUGAAUCAUAUCC
rnacentral:lncRNA from 1 species